CAGAGGAGAUGAAUGGUAAUUUACAACGUCUACUUUGUAAAAGGAGACAUAAAACAAGUUAUAUUGAACAGCAUAAUGGGCUCUCAUAUAACAAACAGCAUAAGGGGUUCUCAUAUAACAAACAACGAGCAAUACUGAACAGCAUAAUGUGUUCUAACUACAUUACAGGUGUGUGGUUAAGAUGUUGUUUGGCCUAAACAGAUCUGUUUAGCCUGUUUCCUUAAUAAAUAAAAAAAAAAGACCCAUUUUGCUUAAUUAGACUAUAACUUAAAUAAAAUCAGAGACUAUCCAAAAUAUGAUCACAUUGAUACAAUAUAGACACCUCGUGGUGGGUUACUAUGCAAUGCAUGCAGAGAACUCAUAUGCAAUCUCCAAAUAGACGCCCUAACCCUUUCCAAUUAUCGAGUCUACUUUGUUUCACAUAAAAAAACAUCUGUAAGUUUUAGACAUUCAAUGCACAAUGAAAUUGUACAUACAGAUGAAAUAAAAACAUGCCACAAAAGUACAUUUGAACAUUUAUUUAUUAUAAUUAAAAUAUGAACCUAGAAAACAGCCUAUAAACACUAUUUACAUGAUAGCUAGCAGUGACGUUGGUUUUAGAGUCUAGAACCAUAAAAACAUACACUUAUUUUCCAGUAGUGAUUGUUGUCGUUGUUGUUGUUGUUUUGGCCGCUGAGGGAAAACGGUUGAAUCUUUUGGGGGGGGGGGGCAUUGUAAGACCAUGGUAAAGCAAUCAAUCCAUAUUUUAGAUAGCGUUUGCUUGUGAUAAAACAGACAGUCCUACUAUACACAUUUUCCUGAGCUGAGAGACUAAACCGAUAACAUGGAAGUGAUGAGGUAUGUAUCAUGUUUGGAUUUUACUCUGGUCAGGACUGUUUCUAGUACAUUUCAUUAUUGAUGAGCAGCCAAUUCUCAUUGUUCCAGUUGGUUGCUUGAUAGUCUUUACUCAAGCUGGGGCUACAACAGGCCAAUCUCUGGACAACAGGGGUCGUCCAACAGGCCAAUCCCUGGGCAACAUGUGUCAUCCAACAGGCCAAUCCCUGGGCAACAUGGGUCAUCCUACAACAGGGGUCAUCCAACAACAUGGGUCAUCCUACAACAGGGGUCAUCCAACAGGCCAAUCUCUGGACAACAGGGGUCAUCCAACAGGCCAAUCUCUGGACAACAUGGGUCAUCCUACAACAGGGGUCAUCCAACAGGCCAAUCUCUGGACAACNNNNNNNNNNAUUACGGUACAGAGUCAAUGUGGAGGCUAUAUACAGGGUAUUACGGUACAGAGUCAAUGUGGAGGCUAUAUACAGGGUAUUACGGUACAGAGUCAAUGUGGAGACUAUAUACAGGGUAUUACGGUACAGAGUCAAUGUGGAGGCUAUAUACAGGGUAUUACGGUACAGAGUCAAUGUGGAGGCUAUAUACAGGGUAUUACGGUACAGAGUCAAUGUGGAGGCUAUAUAUCUUGGACCUCGACUUGGCGCUCCGGUACUACUUGCCGUGCGGUAGCAGAGAGAACCGUCUAUGACUAG
rnacentral:lncRNA from 13 species